AUGGAAUCCACUACAGCCCUUAAAACCAUCACUCUUGGUCAACAGAGUUGUAAGGUAUUUGGACGACUCUUACGCCUAUGGGAUGCAAUAAACAUGAAAUCCAAGUUUGCAGAUCCUCUCAUCAGCAUUGAUGGUGUCCUUUUAGAUGAAGAUGGCAAUAUGGCGCAGAUCAGUGUACCCAAAAAAUUUCAAAGACAAUUCCGCCCCUUACUCACAGAAGGACAUGUCUACAUCUUUAAUGAUAUUGCAGCUGUUGAUAUAAAAAACAAAACCCAUAUAUAUCACCACCAAGACUAUAUGUUGCAAUUCAAGCACAGCACUAAGGUUCACCGUCUUGAAACCAGAGGGACAAAUAUACCAAAGUUUUCCUUCAAUUUUUGUCCAUUUGAUAAUCUACCAGAAAAAGAUACUUUUGCAAAACCACUUCAAGAUAUAAUAGGAGUCAUUAGCCACGUUGGGCCAUUUGAUUAUGCAAGUCAGACGUCUACAAAUAAACUCAGGAAAAUCAAAAUUCGAAACCUAGAUGAACAGACACAAGAAAUACGUCUUUGGGGCCACCAUGGUGAAACAUUUGAUGAAGAAGCUGUACUUAAAAAAUCACAAGAAGGCAUUGUAGUUGGCAUUUUUGCGGGUCUCACAGCUGGGAGCUUUCUAGGUGCCCUGCAUGCAUCCUCAACCUCUGCAACAAAAGUUUACAUUGACUUGGACAUCUGA
rnacentral:rRNA from 1 species